rnacentral:rRNA from 1 species
GAUCAGUCGGCUACGAGGACGACGCUGGCGGCGUGCUUAACACAUGCAAGUCGAACGGUAAGGCCCUUCGGGGUACACGAGUGGCGAACGGGUGAGUAACACGUGGGUGAUCUGCCCUGCACUUCGGGAUAAGCCUGGGAAACUGGGUCUAAUACCGGAUAGGACCAUGGACUUCACGGUUUGUGGUGGAAAGCUUUUGCGGUGUGGGAUGGGCCCGCGGCCUAUCAGCUUGUUGGUGGGGUAAUGGCCUACCAAGGCGACGACGGGUAGCCGGCCUGAGAGGGUGUCCGGCCACACUGGGACUGAGAUACGGCCCAGACUCCUACGGGAGGCAGCAGUGGGGAAUAUUGCACAAUGGGCGCAAGCCUGAUGCAGCGACGCCGCGUGAGGGAUGACGGCCUUCGGGUUGUAAACCUCUUUCAAUAGGGACGAAGCGCAAGUGACGGUACCUAUAGAAGAAGCACCGGCCAACUACGUG